GCAGGUGGAAGGGAAGUAAGGCCAGGAGCAUUGGAGGUGGGUUCAAACAGCUGUAUCAUGGUGUGGAUGGGAGGAGAAAUGCUGUUGGGUUCAUUUCAAAGAAAGAGUAUAUUCAGAGUGUGUUGAAGGUUAAGGAAGUGUCUGACAAGAUGAUGAGUGGAAAAUUGGAAAUUGAAGGGGUGAUGAUGAAUGUCAUCAGUGCAUAUGCCCCACAGUGGUUGAGAGGUGGAGGUG